rnacentral:rRNA from 1 species
CAUGCAAGUCGAGCGGGGAAAGGUAGCUUGCUACUGGACCUAGCGGCGGACGGGUGAGUAAURCUUAGGAAUCUGCCUAUUAGUGGGGGACAACGUUCCGAAAGGGAYGCUAAUACCGCAUACGCCCUACGGGGGAAAGCAGGGGAUCAUUUGACCUUGCGCUAAUAGAUGAGCCUAAGUCGGAUUAGCUAGUUGGUGGGGUAAAGGCCUACCAAGGCGACGAUCUGUAGCGGGUCUGAGAGGAUGAUCCGCCACACUGGGACUGAGACACGGCCCAGACUCCUACGGGAGGCAGCAGUGGGGAAUAUUGGACAAUGGGGGGAACCCUGAUCCAGCCAUGCCGCGUGUGUGAAGAAGGCCUUAUGGUUGUAAAGCACUUUAAGCGAGGAGGAGGCUACUUUGGUUAAUACCUAAAGAUAGUGGACGUUACUCGCAGAAUAAGCACCGGCUAACUCUGUGCCAGCAGCCGCGGUAAUACAGAGGGUGCGAGCGUUAAUCGGAUUUACUGGGCGUAAAGCGUACGUAGGCGGCUUUUUAAGUCGGAUGUGAAAUCCCUGAGCUUAACUUAGGAAUUGCAUUCGAUACUGGGGAGCUAGAGUAUGGGAGAGGAUGGUAGAAUUCCAGGUGUAGCGGUGAAAUGCGUAGAGAUCUGGAGGAAUACCGAUGGCGAAGGCAGCCAUCUGGCCUAAUACUGACGCUGAGGUACGAAAGCAUGGGGAGCAAACAGGAUUAGAUACCCUGGUAGUCCAUGCCGUAAACGAUGUCUACUAGCCGUUGGGGCCUUUGAGGCUUUAGUGGCGCAGCUAACGCGAUAAGUAGACCGCCUGGGGAGUACGGUCGCAAGACUAAAACUCAAAUGAAUUGACGGGGGCCCGCACAAGCGGUGGAGCAUGUGGUUUAAUUCGAUGCAACGCGAAGAACCUUACCUGGUCUUGACAUAGUAAGAACUUUCCAGAGAUGGAUUGGUGCCUUCGGGAACUUACAUACAGGUGCUGCAUGGCUGUCGUCAGCUCGUGUCGUGAGAUGUUGGGUUAAGUCCCGCAACGAGCGCAACCCUUUUCCUUAUUUGCCA